rnacentral:rRNA from 1 species
AUUGAACGCUGGCGGCAUGCUUUACACAUGCAAGUCGAACGGUAACAGGUUAAGCUGACGAGUGGCGAACGGGUGAGUAAUGCAUCGGAACGUGCCCGAUCGUGGAGGAUAACGCAGCGAAAGCUGCGCUAAUACCGCAUACGAUCUGAGGAUGAAAGCGGGGGACCGUAAGGCCUCGCGCGAUCGGAGCGGCCGAUGUCAGAUUAGGUAGUUGGUGGGGUAAAGGCUCACCAAGCCAACGAUCUGUAGCUGGUCUGAGAGGACGACCAGCCAAACGGGGACGGAGACACGGCCCAGACUCCUACGGGAGGCAGCAGUGGGGAAUUUUGGACAAUGGGCGAAAGCCUGAUCCAGCAAUGCCGCGUGCAGGAAGAAGGCCUUCGGGUUGUAAACUGCUUUUGUACGGAGCGAAAAGGUUCUCUCUAAUACAGAGGGCUCAUGACGGUGCCGUAAGAAUAAGCACCGGCUAACUACGUGCCAGCAGCCGCCGUAAAAC